rnacentral:rRNA from 1 species
UACGUAGGGUGCGAGCGUUGUUCGGAAUUACUGGGCGUAAAGGGCGCGUAGGCGGCUCUGUGCGUCGGGCGGGAAAGGCCUGGGCUCAACCCAGGAAUGGCGCUCGAUACGGCGGAGCUCGAGUGUGGGAGAGGAUGGUGGAAUUCCCAGUGUAGAGGUGAAAUUCGUAGAUAUUGGGAAGAAUACCAGAGGCGAAGGCGGCUACCUGGACAAUUGCUGACGCUCAGGCACGAAAGCGUGGGGAGCAAAAGGG